UCAGCUUUUGUGCAGUAGGUAGUGCAUCAGUCUUGCAAGCUGAAGGUCCCGAGUUCAAUCCUCUGAUUCUCAG
rnacentral:tRNA from 1 species